AGCGAACGCUGGCGGCAUGCCUAACACAUGCAAGUCGCACGGGGGGGCUUCGGCCUCCCAGUGGCGGACGGGUGAGGAACGCGUAGGGACCUGUCGAGGGGUGGGGGAUAACCGCGGGAAACUGCGGCUAAUACCGCAUGACGCCGCGGCGUGACAGCCGGGGCCAAAGGCGAAAGCCGCCCGCCGAGGGGCCUGCGUCCGAUUAGCUGGUUGGCGGGGUAGCGGCCCACCAGGGCGUCGAUCGGUAGCUGGUCUGAGAGGGUGAUCAGCCACACCGGGACUGAGACACGGCCCGGACUCCUACGGGAGGCAGCAGUGGGGAAUAUUGGACAAUGGGCGCAAGCCUGAUCCAGCAAUGCCGCGUGGGUGAAGAAGGUCUUCGGAUUGUAAAGCCCUUUCGGCGGGGACGAUGGUGACGGUACCCGCAGAAGAAGCCCCGGCUAACUUCGUG
rnacentral:rRNA from 1 species